ACUGCAAGCUCCGCCUCCCGGGUUCACGCCAUUCUCCUGCCUCAGCCUCCCUGGGGUAGCUGGGACUACAGGCGCCCGCCACCGCGCCCGGCUAAUAGUCUCGAUCUCCUGACCUCGUGAUCCACCCGCCUCGGCCUUCCAAAGUGCUGGGAUUACAGGCGUGAGCCACUGCGUCCGGCCAAGUGGGUUUAUUUUAAAUGAAAAUAUGUCUUCUCAAGAAGGGAGAGAGGAUAUAAAGGGCCACUCUCUACCUGUUUACAGUCCUAGAGUCCAAGAGUAGGAAGAAUAUAGAGGCAGUACCCUCAAGCUUCCAAGUGAGGUUGACCAACGGGGAGGGAGCACAGACAAAAACCUGCAGGAUACGAAGAGAACGAGAUCAGGAUAUUCCCGUGGCUUUCUCCCUGCAAGACCAAGUCAGGCUGUCUCUUGCCUUCGCAUGAUGUCACUUGUCCUCUUCAGGUGACCUGCUCCACGUGACUCGCUCUUCCAUGUUCUGGUAACCUAUCUUUCCCUCCCCUGUUGCUUUGGGUUCAGGGGUUGUUACAUAUUUGCAGUCACUAGUCCUAGAUGCAUGCA
rnacentral:lncRNA from 1 species